rnacentral:rRNA from 1 species
UGGGGAAUAUUGCACAAUGGGGGAAACCCUGAUGCAGCAACGCCGCGUGAGUGAUGACGGUCUUCGGAUUGUAAAGCUCUGUCUUCAGGGACGAUAAUGACGGUACCUGAGGAGGAAGCCACGGCUAACUACGUGCCAGCAGCCGCGGUAAUACGUAGGUGGCAAGCGUUGUCCGGAUUUACUGAGCGUAAAGGGAGCGUAGGUGGAUAUUUAAGUGGGAUGUGAAAUACUCGGGCUUAACCUGGGUGCUGCAUUCCAAACUGAAUAUCUAGAGUGCGGGAGAGGAAAGUAGAAUUCCUAGUGUAGCGGUGAAAUGCGUAGAGAUUAGGAAGAAUACCAGUGGCGAAGGCGACUUACUGGACUGUAACUGACACUGAGGCUCGAAAGCGUGGGGAGCAAACAG